GCCCCCGUAGCCUAAUGGAUAGGCAGCGGACUUCUAAUCCGUUCCACGUGGGUUCGAAUCCCGCCGGGGGUGCUA
rnacentral:tRNA from 1 species